GGUCAUCUGUAGCUGCCUGAUCCCGUCCAGAACUUUGUGGGCGGUCCAGUAGGGUGGCUUUCCGGGACCUAAGUGGUGUCCAGUCUCUCUGAGAGCGGUGGCAGGCAGCAGUGAGGAAGAAGACCCUUCGUUUGGAUGCUUUGCUGUUACUAUUUCCUUUCGCUGCUGAGAUGGUUUCAUCCUGGAAGAGACAAAGUCUUAAGAGAAAAGAGCUGAAAGGCAUACGAUGGCAGGCUUCUGUUCGUCUGGUUUCCUCUGGUACCCAUGCCAGGGAUGGAAAAAAAAAAAAAGCCAGAAAAAGGACAUACCAAAAAAGAAGAUGUAGAAAAGAAUGUGGAAACCGACUCCCCGUCUGCCUCCAGUGAAUGAUGGAAGACUCUCUUAGCUGCAAAAUACAUGCGUCCCAGUUGAAAGAUUAUCUCUUCCAUGAAGUCCUUUCUGACCACUCUAGGCAUUUGUGACUGCCAAACUUACCAGUGUAGUUUCACAUGUUUAAAUGAACCAAUAAAACAUCCCAGUUCUGUAUUUUGAAGAAUAAUGACUUCA